rnacentral:rRNA from 1 species
AACGAACGCUGGCGGCAUGCCUAACACAUGCAAGUCGAACGCGAAAGUCCUUCGGGGUUAGUGGCGCACGGGUGCGUAACGCGUGGGGAUCUGCCCUGUGCUCCGGAAUAACAGUUAGAAAUGACUGCUAAUACCGGAUGAUGUCUUGGGACCAACGAUUUAUCGGCAAAGGAUGAGCCCGCGUAGGAUUAGGUAGUUGGUGGGGUAAAGGCCUACCAAGCCGACGAUCCUUAGCUGGUCUGAGAGGAUGAUCAGCCACACUGGGACUGAGACACGGCCCAGAAUCCUACGGGAGGCAGCAGUGGGGAAUAUUGGACAAUGGACGCAAGUCUGAUCCAGCAAUGCCGCGUGAGUGAUGAAGGCCUUAGGGUUGUAAAGCUCUUUUACCAGGGAUGAUAAUGACAGUACCUGGAGAGUAAGCUCCGGCUAACUCCGUGCCAGCCGCCGCAGUAAAAC